UACGGGGGGGGGCAAGCUUGUUCGGAAUUACUGGGCGUAAAGGGCUCGUAGGCGGCCAACUAAGUCAGACGUGAAAUCCCUCAGCUUAACUGGGGAACUGCGUCUGAUACUGGAUGGCUUGGAUUCGGGAGAGGAAUGCGGAAUUCCAGGUGUAGCGGUGAAAAUGCGUAGAUAUCUGGAGGAACACCGGUGGCGAAGGCGGCAUUCUGGACCGACAUUGACGCUGAGGAGCGAAAGCCAGG
rnacentral:rRNA from 1 species